GACUCGAGUUCCACAGUUUGUUCUUUCUAACGGCAGUAAUGACAAACUGGUGGAUACGAAAAAAAAAACAGUUUUCUGCCGAUCUUUAUCUUUGUGUACUGUAGAAAUGGAUUAAAAUCUUGCAGUAUUCGGUGAGUUCUCUGGAUUGCUUCUUGCGUAGGGAUUACUACUGGGUGCUUUGUUUGUGAAGGUAGGUUUAUGUGUCAACACAAACUCAUCUGCAAGACAUGCUUGUUGUCUUGCCAACUCAACAUGCCUAUGUGAUUCUGUCUUCAUAAUUUACGGAACUGUUGUCUCUAUACCUCUGGGAUCAACUCGUAAGCUCGAAGGAUAGCUGCUUAAACAGUGUCAUAAUCUGAACUCUGGUCAAGAGAUAAAGUAGCAUACACUUUCUGAGCUUUUCCCACAAGAACUCUUUGAAGGAGCAGUGACUAAAUAUCUCGUGGCCAUUUUAGGGAUGUGGCAAUCCCCUCAAACUGAGUAAAAUAUACGUCCACCUCCUUUUUUCUUGAAAGGCGGUACAAGUCAGCUGUUUCGACCAAGAUCAAACUCUGUUGAGGGUGCAGGAUUGGUUGACUGGAUGGCCUCUCUUGUAAUCAAAUGGAAUUUUGAAGUCUUUCUUGUUUGGCUGCACACUCAUCUUGUCUUUCCCUGUGCUGUAGUCUCUCCUCAUGUUUUCUUUCCCUUUCCUUGUCUUCAAGUCUUCCUUGUCUUUAUUUCUGUUGGUCCGUUAUUGCCUUUAGUUCUACCUUUCGCAGUAGCAUGUCCAUAGUGCUAAUUUCAUCAGCCUCUCUCUGAGAGGAUUUCCUCCUCCACCAGAACAGUACCGAUCAACUCUUUGAUUACUGCUUUUGUAUCACCAGAUGCCACUGAUGUUAUAAUGCUUUGCAAAAAAAGAGCAGAUUCACCUUAGUACUUUUAUCUAGCAUCUCCCAUUUAGGCUUUUCCACAAAGGCUUCCAACUUCAAGUCCAUGGCUUUGUUAUUUAUAAGCUUGUGUGUUUAUGCAACUUUCAAAAAUUAUUCCACCGAUCUUAUAACCCCUCAAGUUGGAUGUCAGUGACAUAAACUCUAUCUCAAAGGUGUAUUUGAAAUAUUCAGGCGUAACCCGUACUGACUAACGAGGUGAUACCAAUCGGUAUGCCCUACGUGCUAACGUGCUAUACUUGCUAAAGUCCAACUUCCAAACAUAAAUAAUAAUUCAAAUAUAUAUAUAUAACAGUAGCUUACAUGUUGUUGUUUACGUGCAUGCAUAGGUGGGGUGUUGUUGUAUGCAUUCAUGAGUUGCAUGUUUCCUCCCAAAAUUGUUUUGAACAUUCCGUUUGGACUGAUGCCCAACUGAGCAUUAUACUCAAUGCAUUGUCAAUGAGUUUUGAUGAAUAUUUCAUCAAAGGUGUAUUACAGUAACUUGGAAAUACAAUGAUAUGUCACAACAAGGAGGCAAAUAAUUAAUAGGAAAAACCUUUUGUCACCAUUUUGAUGUUGCCAGAUUGAUUUUAGAUACAUUGUUACAUUAGCUAAGAUUGACGGGAGAACACUGGAUUUUAUUGUUAGCAAAGAUAGAUAUUUAUGACAAAGCUUGCUAGCUAAUGACAACAUUGCCAACUGUCUAAAGUAAAUUUCACGACAUGCUAAUGUUGGCAAAGUUGUUUCCUACUAAAUAUUUGUCUACUUUCGCAAUGUCAUCGUAUUUCCAGGCACUAUAGUGUAAUUUAGACUAAACUGUGGUUAGCCUCCGCCCAGAAGGCCUGGGCUCAUCAUCACAAUGUCGCUCAUCAGACAUUAUCUAUAUUACAAUUCAAAGCAGGUUUUAUAAAGCUGUAUUUACAGUGUGUGUGCAUAUCUAUGUGAGCUGUCCCCUGUAGCUGGGAGUAGCUGUCCCCGGCUACUCCCAGCUGUGGUCCUUCUGUAGCACAGUUGGUAGAGCAUGGCGCUUGUAACGCCAGGGUAGUGGGUUCGAUUCCCGGGACCACCCAUACGUAGAAUGUAUGCACACAUGACUGUAAGUCGCUUUGGAUAAAAGCGUCUGCUAAAUGGCAUAUUAUAUUAUAUUAUAUUAUUAUAUUAUUAUUACUCCCAGCAGGAUAGGAUAGCUGUCCCCAGCUACUCCCAGCAGGAUAGGAUAGCUGUCCCCAGCUACUCCCAGCAGGAUAGGAUAGCUGUCCCCAGCUACUCCCAGCAGGAUAGGAUAGCUGUCCCCAGCUACUCCCAGCAGGAUAGGAUAGCGGUCCCCAGCUUUUCGCAGGAUAGGUGCUGGGAGUAGCAUUUAAUGCCGGAGAUAACACUAUGCUAAUCACAGGGCUCUCGCUGCAUCUGGUUCAAUUGGUUCUAUCAGGCGGCAGAUAACUUCCCGUUUUUGCAGCUGCUUGUCUUCCAUACCGCGUUCCAUAUAUAAUUAUUCAACCUCUUCUCUCAUCACAUCCAGUCGAUAUGUGUGGAGGACUCACAAAGCCUCACAUGAAGCCCCUGGCAUAUAGAAAACCAAACUAAUGGACCCUGGGUGACACUUUAUGUUCAUGUCCAUAUAUCAUAAACACACUAAUCUGUUUUAAGUGUAUCAUUCCAUUGAUGACGAUGUAGUUACAUGCUAAUGCUAAUUUGAAUUGUUGGCAACGCUUUACCAUAGCGACCUACACCACUGCAUUCUGUUACCCAUGUAAUUACAAAGCAGUUCCAUACAGGUAUUACUGUGUAGUUACAUAGGUAUGUUGUAGGGGCAACUUAAGGUACAGUGUUACUGAAUUGUUUCUUGUUAAUUUGAAACGUUUAGAGAUUUCUGUAGGGGCAACUUAAGGUACAGUGUUACUGAAUUGUUUCUUGUUAAUUUGAAACGUUUAGAGAUUUCUGUAGGGGCAACUUAAGGUACAGUGUUACUGAAUUGUUUCUUGUUAAUUUGAAACGUUUAGAGAUUUCUGUAGGGGCAACUUAAGGUACAGUGUUACUGAAUUGUUUCUUGUUAAUUUGAAACGUUUAGAGAUUUCUGUAGGGGCAACUUAAGGUACAGUGUUACUGAAUUGUUUCUUGUUAAUUUGAAACGUUUAGAGAUUUCUGUAGGGGCAACUUAAGGUACAGUGUUACUGAAUUGUUUCUUGUUAAUUUGAAACGUUUAGAGAUUUCUGUAGGGGCAACUUAAGGUACAGUGUUACUGAAUUGUUUCUUGUUAAUUUGAAACGUUUAGAGAUUUCUGUAGGGGAAAUGACAUGUUCCUAAUUUGCCUUUUUUUAAUACAUGUUGUCUUCUGA